CAUACGUUUUCCAACUACUGGGAAAAUAUGGUAAAUCACCCUAAUUAAGCCAAACUCUCCUGAAGGCAGCUGUCAGCGAUUCCAGGAGUGUCUGAUUCCGAGGCAUGACGGGCACUUUUCAACCUCUGCCGGAGGGGAGGCUAGGCGGGCCUUUGAAACAGCAGAAGACGGAUGCCUUUUUGUUCUGCUGAUGGUGUCCUUUGCUGCCAAAUUACAGACUUUUGAACUGAUAAAAUCCUGAAUCUUUUACUAGCUAAACAGAUCAUAAGGUAGGUGUUGCUAACAUCUGUAUUUGGUAAAACAUAACAAAGGCUGAAAAUUCUACAUACAUGAAACUUGCAACUGUCAGAGGGUUUGAUUUCAGGCAGAAAAACCACUACUGACUAAAUUACCCAAUGAAAUAAAGCUGGGUAGUUUACCACUGUCCCUGAUAAAAGAAGCCUCUUGCCUGGUACCCUGAAGACUGUUGAAUUUGCAAUCCAAAUAAACUGAGAUUGUUACCUGGGGAUAAACAUUUUGCCUGUGGCCUUGAAACUAGCGAACUGAAGUUCAGCAAUAUUAAUCGAGUUUAACUCCAAACUAACUUUUAUAGAUGUUCUCAUUUCUCCCUAACUGUAAAAUGCUUCAGAUCAGCUUCUACAAAGUCUGAAUAGCACAAAACAAAGAAAACUGGGCCUAAUUUUUGUACCAGAGCACAACUGAGAAUAACUAAAAAUAAAGCAGAACCUGCUUAAAAUGAGACAAGCACAAAAAUCCUAUAUUCAAUCCAAGGGCUUGCAUCUCACUCACAUCCAAAGCCAAAUUCCUUAAAGUGGCUGACAAGGCCCUUCUUGAUCAAGCUUCCACUUAUUUCUCUGCCCUUAGCUUCUUUUGAGGUCACUUUUCCAUUUAGCCACCCUGGCACCUCAGCUCUUUCCCUCUUCUUUCACAACUUGCUUCCUCAUUUUUCAAGUCUUUGCUGAAAUAGUACCUUCUGAGUGCCAUCUUCACUGGUUUGGAAAGACUGAAGAGACAACCUGGAAACAGCAAUCCAGACAGAAGUUCUCCUGGGGGAAGUCACAUGCAGGAAAUCCAGAAGCAGCUGGGGUCUACAGUCAGCAAGCUGUUAUUUUGUAGCAACUCACCUAAACUAUCCAGGGCCCCUCCCCUCCCGGCAGGACCAGUGUUCCAAGAUCAAGGUCUGCUAUCUGGACAUUUUUCAUCACCAAGGAGAUGCUCCAGGCUGGCCACCCCUGGAAUCUCUGACCUUGACACUCACAGCAUGUUUUGUUAUAUCUUUUGUUUGGUGGGAAUACAGGACGAUGGGAACUACACAAUUUCAAGAUAAUAAAAGACUGCGGCAGUCAGGGUGUGCUUGUAUAAACCAGUUUUCCAGCACUACUUUACAUGCACACAUUGUAAACUCUCAACAAAUAUAUGUAGAGU